UACAGAGGGUGCGAGCGUUAAUCGGAAUUACUGGGCGUAAAGCGCACGUAGGCGGCUUGGUAUGUCGGGUGUGAAAUCCCCGGGCUCAACCUGGGAACUGCAUCCGAAACUGCCUUGCUCGAGUAUGGGAGAGGGAAGUGGAAUUUCCGGUGUAGCGGUGAAAUGCGUAGAUAUCGGAAGGAACAUCAGUGGCGAAGGCGACUUCCUGGACUAAUACUGACGCUCAGGUGCGAAAGCGUGGGGAGCAAACAGG
rnacentral:rRNA from 1 species